rnacentral:lncRNA from 1 species
AGAACGCGCUGAUAUACGACGCCCUGUCGCUGCUGGCACGCUCUUUCCACGAUCUGGACCGGUCCCAGAGCAUCGAAACGCAUCGGCUCUCCUGCUGGGACCCGGACGCCCAGGGACCCUGGCCUCAUGGCCGCGCCUUGGUCAGCUACAUGAAGAUGGUUCAGUUCAAGGGUCUUACUGGAGACAUGCACUUAAGCGACCUAGGUAGACGAAAGGACUUCGCGCUUGAUGUCGUCAAGCUUCAGUCGAAUGGCUUCGAGAAGGUGGGAGCAUGGACGGGGGACAUCGGCCUGACAGCUGUGACGCC